UGCAAAGCCGCUGCAUCGGCAUAGAGUAAGCCUAUGAAAUCGCUUCGCAGGUGACCACGGAUGUACUGGCACCCGCUGACGGCGAUGAUGGGAGGUCGGUGCGAGAAUUCGCCCGGCCUUUUCCCUU
rnacentral:sRNA from 1 species